UACAGAGGGGGCAAGCGUUAUUCGGAAUCAUUGGGCGUAAAGAGCGUGUAGGCGGCCCGGUAAGUCCGCUGUGAAAGUCGGGGGCUCAACCCUCGAAUGCCGGUGGAUACUGUCGGGCUAGAGUGCGGAAGAGGCGAGUGGAAUUCCUGGUGUAGCGGUGAAAUGCGCAGAUAUCAGGAGGAACACCGAUUGCGAAGGCAGCUCGCUGGGACGUCACUGACGCUGAGACGCGAAAGCGUGGGGAGCAAACAGG
rnacentral:rRNA from 1 species